ensembl:processed_transcript 1700051A21Rik RIKEN cDNA 1700051A21 gene
ACCGCUCGCCAGCCCGUUGGCGCUGCUCGUCAGUAGGGUGUGCCGGUCAUUCUGCCAGCUUAAGCGUGAGGACCCUUUGUGUACUCUCACCUGUUCUCUCCUGGACUCCGGAAUGUCCCAGAUGAAAAACACCAGCCUGUAGGAUUCUCAGGCUUCUCUCUCCAAAGCGUUCUCCUUCUCAUCCCUAUCCCGGAGGGGCGUCUCCUAGAGGCGAUGGCCGAGCCCUGCGCCACCGCGGUCUUCUCACCUCCAGGAUCCGCUGGCUUCCUCCUAGCGUUAGCCCAACUCUAGACAUAGAACCCAUUUCCCUCCUCGUGCCGUCUCCCACCCAGCGCACCGUAGGCGCUCUAGAGGGACCGCUAAGGAAGGCGGUCACUGUCCUCGCUGACCGAACGACUUUCACCCUCCAGCGAACGCGCUUGCGCAGCCGGCCGUCUUUGCCCCAGGCGUGGGUAGUUGCUGCCGCCCACUUACCCACCACCUCGCUAGUGCCAUUUUAUGGUGGGAGAAGGGGCCUUAGAAAAGAGGGGGCAUAAUCCUGCCAACCAUGAGCGAGGCAUUCGUUCAUUCAUUAAUCCUCCCCUUAACAGACCUGUAUGUAGUACCUGCUGUGCUAAGUCCUGUUUGGGACACCAACACGAGGGUGCAAUGACAUUAUUGACACCUCGCCCGGCCACCACCACCAGGAAAGAACUAUUGAAUUCCCCACUUUCUUAGCCUGUGAGUGUCGAAGGCCCUAAAACAGAACACACAUUUGUAUAGAGAUUUUUGACUCUGUUCCUGUUACCUGUCUGUCACCUUGCCCUCAAGUCUGCAACUGCUGUCUUCAGGCCCUCUCUAUUUUUGGUUUGUUUGCUUGUUUGCAUCUAUGUGGCCCUGGGCCCAUCCCUUCCCCCAGGGCAAUUAAAACUAGAGUUCCUGCUUUGGUUUGUGUGUGUGUGAUUGUUUCAAGACUCUAUGUGUAUGAGUAUUUUGCUUGCAUAUAUAUGUGUGUAUCAUUUGCAUGUCUGAUAACCCCAGAGUCAGAAGAGGGUGUCAGAGCCCCAGAAACUGAAGUAAUAGACAGUUGGGAAGAACCAUAUGGGUUCUGGGAAAUGAACCCAGGGCCUCUUCCAGCAAGAAGAGUGAGUCCUGCUGUUAACCACUGAGCCAGCUUUCCAGCCUUUUGGAGUUUUUAUUUAAUCUUCGUUUUAUUUAUCACCAUGUGCCCACUCAACACUCUUUGCCAGGCCUCAUUCAUGAUGCUCACUCAAAGUCUGGGAUCUACGAUGCAGGCCAACCAUUCUGCUGUAAUUCAAGUGCUUUAAAGGCUAUAAAGUGUGCUCUGC